UUCAGACUUGCAAGAUUCUGCUAAUGUAGCUUUAAAGUAGGAUUAGCUUAUCUGGUCGUAUUUCCUGUCUGGUCUACCUGGCAAAUACAGAGGUAAUAAUACAAAUACAGGGGUAAUAAUAUUAUAGAAGUGGAAGCAAGACUUAAAGAUAAGAGGCCACUUAGUCCCAGCUAGAGACGGGUAGGUAUUUGGACCAAAGCACCUUUCUCGCUCUCUAUACAAACACUGCACCCUUCUGAUCCCAAUUAGGGCUUUCCUUUAAUCUUGCUAUGAUCCAUUAAUAGUAUCCAUUAAAAGCACACACACACCACUUCCACAUUUGUACAUGGUUGCAAAGUCCAUCUUACUGGACUUGCUUAAUCCCUUGUGGAUGGGACUGUGCAUCUCGACCAGCCUGCAAUGUAUUCAGCACGGGCAAAAUAUUUUCUGUAUAGAAGACAUGCGAUUGGUAUAGUCCUAUCAAGGAGCUGUCCCCUUGUAGGGGAGUACUGAGACAGCCUUGAAAAAGGAAUACAACAACUGUCGUGAGAACAUGAGCUUAGCCCAGAAAGACAGGAGGGGAUGAGGAAGAAAUUCAAGAUUGCCACUCCUUGACUAUCUCUGGUAUAAGAGAGACUUUCCACAUUCUGUUAUUAUUUCCUAUAACAAUAAAACAUGCUUCCAGUA